rnacentral:rRNA from 1 species
GACGAACGCUGGCGGCGUGCCUAAUACAUGCAAGUCGAACGCAUUUUCUUUCACCGUAGCUUGCUACACCGAAAGAAAAUGAGUGGCGAACGGGUGAGUAACACGUGGGUAACCUGCCCAUCAGCGGGGGAUAACACUUGGAAACAGGUGCUAAUACCGCAUAAUUCCAUUUACUGCAUGGUAGAUGGAUGAAAGGCGCUUUUGCGUCACUGAUGGAUGGACCCGCGGUGCAUUAGCUAGUUGGUGGGGUAACGGCCUACCAAGGCUGCGAUGCAUAGCCGACCUGAGAGGGUGAUCGGCCACACUGGGACUGAGACACGGCCCAGACUCCUACGGGAGGCAGCAGUAGGGAAUCUUCGGCAAUGGACGCAAGUCUGACCGAGCAACGCCGCGUGAGUGAAGAAGGUUUUCGGAUCGUAAAACUCUGUUGUUAGAAAAGAACAAGGAUGAGAGUGGAAAGUUCAUCCCUUGACAGUAUCUAACCAGAAAGCCACGGCUAACUACGUG